UACAGAGGGGGCAAGCGUUAUUCGGAAUUAUUGGGCGUAAAGGGCGCGUAGGCGGCGUAGCAAGUGACGGGUGAAAUCCCUCGGCUUAACCGAGGAACUGUCUGUCAAACUGCAUGGCUUGAGACCGGGAGAGGUGAGUGGAAUUCCCAGUGUAGCGGUGAAAUGCGUAGAUAUCUGGAGGAACACCGGUGGCGAAGGCGGCAUCCUGGACCAUUACUGACGCUGAUGAGCGAAAGCCAGGGGAGCAAACGGG
rnacentral:rRNA from 1 species